UAGCUUACAGUUGCUUAGAUACAAUAUAAUUUUUUCCUAUUAUUUCUUAAAAUUAUUCUCUUCCUGGUUUCUGAUUUUCCCAGUCAAUUUCCAAUUUCGCCAUAUCAACCAUUCAUCUCUGCUCAGGGCUUUAUCUUCUUUGCAAUAGUAUCCACACUGCUGUCAUCGCGUACAUAAAUAGUCAUUUCUGCUCCUUCGGAAUUUCUGCACCUAAAAUACCUGGUGUUAUGUAUUGAAGUUCUCACCCUGGCUACCAGGAGUAUCGUGUAUAGUAUAUAGUUUUCACACAGGUCCACGUCAGUUACUUUAGGCGGGAAACCCUGGGUUGUUGUUGCUACAAUGUUGACAGCCGGCUGCCUAUAAAAGCAGGCCGGCUGAGCUGUUUGCUAUUCAGUUCUGUUCCAGCUUACAAAUAAAGAGCUGCUUUGGAGAAAUUGCUGCGUUGUCUGCUAUGUCUACCCACUAUUUAACACCUAAUAAAAGACUGGAUUUUUCGCAAACGUUACUUUAAACAUUUUUUUCAAUUCAUUAUAAAUCAUUUCUCAGAAUGCUUUUGUCCACCACAUUUCUUUCUCUUAGCAUUUCCAACAAACAUUUGAAGCAGUUCUAACCCUCCAUAAUUUUUCCCAAGAUGAAAAUUGGAUAUUAUUCCCAAUAUAUUGUGCCCAAUAUAUCAUUACUGAUUUAACUUUUUCAUCUUGGGUAUGCCACUUUAGCAACAAUUUAUACAUUUUAGAAAGUAACCACAUUAUUUUCCAUUAAAGAUUUUUCAAACCUUGAAAUUUCUUUACUGAAUCCAAUUUUCUGAUCUAUUUUAAACACAUCAUUUAAUUGAUAUUGGAACCAGUCUGUUACUGUCUUAUAUCCUCAAAACUUUUUCAAUUUCAAUUGUUGCUCUACUUCCAUAAGCAACUCUCUAUAGGUUGCCCAUUCAUUUUUUGCAUUAGUCUUUCUCAGGGAUAUCGCUUCCCUGGGGAAAGCCACCAUGAUGUCUUCUGCUCUAACAAGUUUUUAUAUUUUCCCCAUAAAUUGCUUUUCUUACCAAAUGAUUCAAAAACCAUUUAUGCACUUUGGUCUUCUCAUACCUUAGAUGUGCAUCUAUCUGCUAUCAUGACCCUCAAAGUCUAGAAUAUCUGUAUUUUUUAAAAGUUAUCCAUUCCUAUAGCCAGUAGGGACAUGACACCUCAUAAUAUAAUUUCAAAUUCGGCAGAGAGAAGCCACCUAUUUCUUUACUAUCUGUUAAUAGUUUGUAUUUAAUCUUUGGUUUCUUCCCCUGCCAGAUAAAUUUAGAUGCAUCUUUUUGCCAUUGUUUGAAGCUCCACUGACCACAGGUAUUGUUUCUUAUUGGCGUUUGCUUUGGUUCUCUGCCAGGGACUGGCUGCCUCACUGUCUCAUCCUUGGAAACCCUUAUCAGGUAAAGAAGGUGAGACCGCCAUAAAAUGUUUUUCAUCACCAUAAGUUGAGAUGGAAGAGCUGGCAUUCUAAAAGUCAUAAAUAGGUGUGCGAUGUUUCUUAUGCUGGGCAGGAAAUGGAAAUUUUUCAGAUCUACUUUUUGGUAAUGGCAGGUCAAAAGCUGAGAUAAGGACGUCAUAAUUAACCUGCGAUUCAUCCACUUGUACUCAUUUUGAUGAAUCUCAAGCAUUAUCUGGUUCGCUUGGGGGACUUGGCAAGGCUUUAUUUCAUCCAUGACUUGUAUUGACAGUUCGCUGGCAUAGUUGUGUCUAAUCCUCCUUUUAGCCCUUUGGGCAUUUAUAGAAGGAGGGCAAUUAUCCAAGUAUUCCUCUGUAUUAGUUAUUUUGGUGAAAAUUUCAUUCAGUCUUUGAAGAACUAAGACCAUAGUUUCUGCUGACAUCAUAUGGUAAGGGUAUAAAUCUGGAAUCUGCUGGAAACAAGUUCCUCUAUUUGUCUUGUUCUAAAGACGUGGAUGGGUCAGCAUUUGGGAUGGGGGGAUCUCUCCUACUCCUGUUUUCUGGGUGAAAUCAUCUCCUUCCCUCCUUGAAAGGGGGAGGGGUCGGAUCAUCUCCUUCCUUCUUAGAGUGGGGGAGGGUUCUCCCAGCAACAUUACUCACAAUUUGCUCUGUUUCCGAGCUAGGAAUGAAGGUGUUGGCUUUCUGCCGCUUCUCUGCGUUGGAGGAAUUGUGAGUCCCAAUUACCGUAUUUUUUGCUUUAUAAGACUCACUUUUUCCCUCCUAAAAAGUAAGGGGAAAUGUGUGUGCGUCUUAUGGAGCGAAUGCAGGCUGCGCAGCUAUCCCAGAAGCCAGAACAGCAAGAGGGAUUGCUUCUUUCACUGCGCAGCGAUCCCUCUUGCUGUUCUGGCGUCUGAGAUUCAGAAUAUUUUUUUUCUUGUUUUCCUCCUCCAAAAACUAGGUGCGUCUUGUGGUCUGGUGCGUCUUACAGAGUGAAAAAUACGAUAUGCUGUUUUGGCUCUUAAUGCCUCGUUUUUUCCUUCUAGCAGGCAUAAUUAGCAGCGGGGUGAGCUCCCGUUGCUCAGUCCCUGCUCCUGCCAACCUAGCAGUUUGAAAGCAUGUCAAAGUGCAAGUAGAUAAAUGGGUACUGCUCCAGCGGGAAGGUAAAUGGUGUUUCAGUGCGCUGCUCUAGUUUGCCAGAUGUGGCUUAGUCAUGCUGGCCACAUGACCCGGAAGCUGUACGCCGGCUCCCUCGGCCAAUAAAGCGAGAGGAGUGCGCAAUCUCAGAGUCGGCCAUGACUGGACCUUUUAUCAGAUCAAGGCCAGGUCUUAUGUUCAAUGGAUGAAAGCUGUGUGUUAGUUGCAAAGACUGCAAUCUACCUUCUUUAGUGUUCCUUGUUACACUAAAUCGAGUUGAGCCAUAAAACAGUAGAUAAUAAAACAGUAAAACUGUUUUAUUAGACUAAAAGCAGAGAAAACAAAACGACAACUAAAAAUAUAAACAUAGGGUCAGAAGAUGGCUAAAACCUAAUUAAAAGCUUAAUUGAAGGCAGGAGGUUCUGGCUAGGCUGCUACCUCCGUUGCCAUUUUGGCUCACAAAUGUUUGUUUGCUGCUGCUGUGGGGCCAUUUUAGAUGAAGGCAGAGUGACCGGAAAGAGGCGCCACCGGAGGAGAGGCAAACGAAGACAUGCCACCACCGCCAUAUUGGUUGAGGGCAGUCGGGCCUAGCCUGGCCAUUUUGUGGCGCUGGUCUCCCUCGUGAGGUGAGCGCCUCAUCUCUUGAGGGGUCCCAGGAGAAGUUAGGGGUCCCUGCGGAGAAGGAAGAGUGGAGACCCCCCCCCAAUCCCCUCAGGCAGGAGUUCCAACAGUGCCUUAGGGGCCUUGGCCUUUCUCUGGUUUGUUGUUGUUGUUGCUGCUGCUGCUGCUGUUAUCAUCAUUAUCCUCAGUAUUAUCCUUAUUCUCCUCCUCCAUUUCUUAGCUGGGAACCCAAGUUUCUUCCAGGAACCCAAGUGCUGGUGCCUGCAACUUCGCCUGUGACUGCUGGGAUUGCUCUGACAAGAUCCAUUGACACUAGUUUUGGCGUCACCAAAGGAAUCAGGGAGAUGUGCUUCAAUUCCCCUCGCAGAUAGUAUUUAACCCAUCACGGCAUCUCUCAAAGCACCCUGGGAACUGUAGUUUCUUAUGGGGGGAGAGAAUAUUCUGCACAACCUUUCCCAAGGGAACUCUGGGAGAUAUAGCUCUGAGAGGGUCUCUUUGGGAAACGGAACAAACUACAGUUCCCACGAUGUCCCCCAAAGCACCCUGGGAACUAUUGCUUGCUCUGGGUGUAGAGGGUUGCGAAUCCCUUGACAGAUCCAGUUCCCAAGCCCUUUUCUCUUCCUAGGGAACUCUGGUAACUGUAGCUCAUGGGAGGAACAUCACUUGGUGCCCUGAAUUCUGGGAACUGUAGCUUGCUCAGGGCGCCUGAUUCCUUCUCCUUCUAGGCUACUGGAAUGGGCUGGCACUGCUGAGUGUCGCCUUGGCCUGCGACUUUGAAGGCACCGCCUGCAGCUGGGAGGACAUCAGCAUGUCUGGGUACUGGUGGCGCCCAGGGUGGGGCAGAGGCUGGGUGCGCGGCCCCGACUCCCCCUUCAGCCACAUGCUGGGCACCGACCAGGGUAAACUUGCUUCAUUUGAAAGGCAGAGAAGCAUUGCUUAGCAGUUAGAGCACCCCUUUGACCUGGCGCCCCCCAAUCAGGCUGGUACAUGAGCACCUCGGAGCAGCGAACCAAGCCGCCUGACUCCGCUCCCUGACCAUGAGUGACACAGCCACAGCCUGUGAACUCUGCACCUGGUACAGUAUGACUGAGAAAGGUAAGCUUGGGGCACUGGUCGGAAAACCAACAGGCACAGAGCCAUGUACUUGGCCUUUUUCCCUGUGUGGAGGAAAUUCCACCAGGCACAGUUGUCGUAAUUCCGUAUUGAUAUCACAUAUUACAUUUCUAAGCUGCAGGACAUAUCGUGGUGAUAUCAUAUAAUUAUUAUUUAUUGAUUUCCAGACCACUGACCCGCCUGGUAGGGCCAGCAUAAUGAAAUACCAUUCUUAUCAGGAAAUUUACUGAUGCCCUGCUUCCCGUCCCCCUUUGGGAUUCCUGGCAGCUGACCAAUAAAAAUGAGAGCGGUUGAGAUGAGAUGUCAUUCUGCAAUUCUCGCAGGGGUCAGGCUAGAUGACCCCCGGGUCCCAUUUCCUCUCUUUAUAUAUCUAUGGUUCCCACCUGCAGGGGUCAGGCUAGAUGACCCCUGGUUCCUCACCCCUCAGCCCUUCCUGUGCAGGACUCAACGGGAGCUUCCCUGUGGAGCUGAGCCACGGCAACCACAUUGUCCCCUGUGGCGAAGCCCUGCCUCAUCCUCAGGCACCUGGCGCCCCCUGCUGGCUUACACUGGAAGAGUCCACAGCGCUUUCCAGGUAGGUCUUGGGCUCCUCGCCCUCCCCGGCCGGCUCCUUAUCUGGAGCAUGUCAAGAGCGCAGGUGACCUUCUCCUCGGCGAGUGUGGCACUGGACAACGUGUAGUUCAUGAACUGUGGCCCCCAAAGUAAAGCUUUAUUUUCCACCUCCCCAAAACCUGGCCAACCAGAUAGAUUGCUUGGAGGCAGCUCAUUAACCGUUCCAACAUUUCCAAGUCCCCGGAGCUGCACCCCAGGCAAGCCAUGCUUGCCAAGCGGCUGCAUGGCACCUGCCUGCACCGAGGACUGUGGCGACGGUGGAGAUGAACGGGGUUGCGGUGACCGGUCAAGGGGGCAUUCGAGGCCAGGGGAACAUUGGCACCACCGGAAGGGAGGGGGCUACCAGGAAACCUCCCAACCAGGCCAAAGCAUUUAAGGAGGGUGCAGAGUAUGCUAGCUGAAAUGGGGCUUACCCUGGGGAAAAUCCUGAGCGGAAGUUGCAAGUUGGUGGCCACCACUGCCUCUUGUAGCAGGGAGUUCCAUAACGUGCGCUUUGUAAAGAAGUACUUCCUUUCUUUGAUGUGUCCUGAACCUUCCAGCGUCCAGCUCCGUGAGUUCUACCGUUAUGAGAGGGAGAAAAACUUUCCUCUAUCCACUUUCUCCAGGCUAGGUCUCAUUGGCCUGGAGAAAUCACAUCUUUGCAUAAUUUAAUGCACAAAGAACAAAUAGAAAAUAGGAACAAAUAGGAAAACUCCCCUGCAUUUACUAAAUAACCACAUCCCUCAUUUGUGUUGCUGAGAUAAAUUUAUUUAACACUCUGACGAACUCACCUGCCAAAACACAGGAGAAUAUCAACAAUCCAGGACAGAAAAUUUUACCCAUAGUGUUUUGUUUUUCCAAAAUCAGCUAAAACAGAAGGGAGAGGUCACCCAUUACCUGUAAGGGAGCAAAUAUUCCUUUGAGAAGUUUCUCCCAAAAUGGAAGGCACACGAGACUCUGUAAUUCUCUUCUUUGGGAGGUGGGUGUCGUGCAGGUGGCCUUGGGGAGCUGGAUGCGAAGGAGGCACGUCCCAGGCCUUUGAACUGCAACAAGGACAACCUGGGAACAUCUCUCACCUACUGUGCCUGCAUCUCCUCACUCUCUCAAUCGCUCCGCUCCCAGCCGAGAACAAAGACCAACCUCUCUUGUGGGGUUAAUGUUACACAUGGUGUUCCCAUUAUGUAGGGACUGGUGAUUCGCUUCAUCAUUAGGGUCCAGACUGAGGUUCCCAGCGUGGCAUGUGGACUCCAUGGCACCCUCAGACACCCUUCUUAGCACCCACCAAGGCUCCCUGAGUCUUUUAAAAAAGUUUCCCCAAAUUCUGUUACGUUUUUACAGUGCUACAAGACCAUUUGUUUUGGCAGUUGAGGGAUUAUUUAUUUAUUUCUUUAUUUUGCCCUUUAUUUUACUCCACUGUAAAUUAUUAAAUAAUAAAAAAUAGUGUUUGUUAUUUAGAUCAA